GAUGAACGCUGGCGGCGUGCCUAACACAUGCAAGUUGAACGGAGAUUUAACGCUGAUGAGGCUUUGGCGGAUUCUUGUUAAAUUUUAGUGGCGGACGGGUGAGUAACGCGUGGGCAACCUGCCUCAUACUGGGGGAUAACAGUUGGAAACGACUGUUAAUACCGCAUAAGCGCACUAAAGUCGCAUGACUCAGUGUGAAAAACUCCGGUGGUAUGAGAUGGGCCCGCGUCAGAUUAGCUAGUUGGUGGGGUAAAGGCCUACCAAGGCGACGAUCUGUAGCCGGACUGAGAGGUCGGACGGCCACAUUGGGACUGAGACACGGCCCAAACUCCUACGGGAGGCAGCAGUGGGGGAUAUUGCACAAUGGAGGAAACUCUGAUGCAGCGACGCCGCGUGAGUGAAGAAGUAUUUCGGUAUGUAAAGCUCUAUCAGCAGGGAAGAAAGACUCGUAAGAGAGAUGACG
rnacentral:rRNA from 1 species